UACGAAGGGGGCUAGCGUUGCUCGGAAUCACUGGGCGUAAAGCGCACGUAGGCGGCUUUCUAAGUCGGUGGUGAAAUCCUGGAGCUCAACUCCAGAACUGCCCUCCGAUACUGGAAGGCUCGAGUCCGGGAGAGGUGAGUGGAACUGCGAGUGUAGAGGUGAAAUUCGUAGAUAUUCGCAAGAACACCAGUGGCGAAGGCGGCUCACUGGCCCGGUACUGACGCUGAGGUGCGAAAGCG
rnacentral:rRNA from 1 species